rnacentral:rRNA from 1 species
UACGUAGGGUGCAAGCGUUGUCCGGAAUUAUUGGGCGUAAAGAGCUCGUAGGCGGUUCGUCACGUCGGCUGUGAAAUCCCGAGGCUCAACCUCGGGUCUGCAGUCGAUACGGGCGGACUGGAGUACUGCAGGGGAGACUGGAAUUCCUGGUGUAGCGGUGAAAUGCGCAGAUAUCAGGAGGAACACCGGUGGCGAAGGCGGGUCUCUGGGCCGAUACUGACGCUGAGGAGCGAAAGCGUGGGGAGCGAACAGG